AUUGAACGCUGGCGGCAGGCUUAACACAUGCAAGUCGAGCGGAGAUGAGGUGCUUGCACCUUAUCUUAGCGGCGGACGGGUGAGUAAUGCUUAGGAAUCUGCCUAUUAGUGGGGGACAACAUUCCGAAAGGAAUGCUAAUACCGCAUACGUCCUACGGGAGAAAGCAGGGGAUCUUCGGACCUUGCGCUAAUAGAUGAGCCUAAGUCGGAUUAGCUAGUUGGUGGGGUAAAGGCCUACUAAGGCGACGAUCCGUAGCGGGUCUGAGAGGAUGAUCCGCCACACUGGGACUGAGACACGGCCCAGACUCCUACGGGAGGCAGCAGUGGGGAAUAUUGGACAAUGGGGGGAACCCUGAUCCAGCCAUGCCGCGUGUGUGAAGAAGGCCUUAUGGUCGUAAAGCACUUUAAGCGAGGAGGAGGCUACUGAGACUAAUACUCUUGGAUAGUGGACGUUACUCGCAGAAUAAGCACCGGCUAACUCUGUGCCAGCCGCCGCCGUAACAC
rnacentral:rRNA from 1 species